rnacentral:misc_RNA from 1 species
GAUGAAGAACGUAGCGAAAUGCGAUAAGUAGUGUGAAUUGCAGAAUUCCGUGAAUCAUCGAAUCUUUGAACGCACAUUGCGCCUUCUGGUAUUCCGGAAGGCAUGCCUGUUCGAGAGUCAUUAACAACCGUUUCGAUCCCUUUCUUUCAGAAAUUACAAAGAGGAAAAGGGUUUGGUUAUGGUGGAGGAGGGAAAGGGAGCGUUUAGCCUGUAAAAAAAGAGGCUGUGUUCCGCCUCCCCCCCAAAAUUGUACAGGCGGUCGUGUGCGCCCACGCAUCGAGGUGUUGUAAAAGCUGCCACGGCACUUUUCACCUGUGCAGUGCGAGAUUGGCCAGCCGGUUUAAAAACCCCUCCAAACAAUCAAAGGUUGACCUCGGAACAGGUAGGGAUACCCGCUGAACUUAAGCAUAUCAAUAAGCGGAGGA